rnacentral:rRNA from 1 species
UAGGGAAUAUUGGUAAUCUGCGAAAGCGGGAACCAGCAACGCCGCGUGUGCGAUGACGGCCUUCGGGUUGUAAAGCACUUUUUGAGGGGAUGAGGAAGGACAGUACCCUCAGAAUAAGCCUCGGCUAACUACGUGCCAGCAGCCGCGGUAACACGUAGGAGGCAAGCGUUAUUCGGAUUUACUGGGCGUAAAGCGCGUGCAGGCGGUUCGGUAAGUUGGAUGUGAAAGCUCCCGGCCUAACUGGGAGAGGUCGUUCAAUACUACCAGACUAGAGGAUGGGAGAGGGAGGUGUAAUUCCGGGUGUAGUGGUGAAAUGCGGAGAUAUCCGGAGGAACACCAGUGGCGAAAGCGGCCUCCUGGCCCAUUUCUGACGCUCAGACGCGAAAGCUAGGGUAGCAAACG